UUGUCAACCACUUUAAUUCCUUUCAUAAAUAAAGAUUAUAAUCCUAUAAAGAUGUUCGUUUUAAUUUUUGCAAUGUUAUCCUUUGAUGAUCACAUAGGGAGGGAGUAAUGAUCUUUGCAAUCCAAUCCCAGUUAGUGAGGUCCGAUCCUCAAUAGGCUUUGCCUCAACUUCAUAAAAUUCAUUUAUCACGUACCUGGGGAUUGAACUGAUGCCAUAGUGGAAACAUCAUCUCCAAAGGAACCAACCUAUCCUUCCAGGCUGCUUUCUCCGGGGCAGAGCAAUUGGCCUUAUGCCCAUGAUUGAUCAGGGAGAAAAAGAUGACAAUAUUUGAUGCUUAACCACAAUUAUUGAGACAAGAAGAAUGAGAAGAAGGAAGUUGCAGUUAAUGAGUUUGUACCGGCAUCUGAUGCUUAUGAAGCCAUCCAGCAUUCCAUGGCCUGAAGCUCCAAAGCUUUUCAAUGUGGUAAUUGAGAUCAGCAAAGGGGGUAAGGUGAAGUAUGAAGUGGAUAAGAAGAGUGGACUUAUCAAGGUAAAAAAUAUCACAAAUUGUUUAUUGAAAACAUGCACAGAGUCAGCCCGAGCCCGCCAAUAUUUAGGUUAAUGGUUGGCCUGGGGAAAAAAUUUCCGUAGGUUAUAUUUGUUCCCAUCUGUCCAUCUCUUUCAAGUCUACUCAUGCAUUAAUUUACAAUUUGUGAUUCAUCAUUUUGGUUUUUUUACUUUCAUUGUAUAUGGAAGGUUACAAAUCAAAUCCACUAUUGCUAUGGUUGUACAAGCUUAGGUUCGACCAAUAUGGUUGUAUAAAAAAUUCACUUAUUCAAAUAUACAAUAUUUAUUUUACUUGAGAGAAAUAUUUUACAAAAAUAAUUAUAUCAUUUUUAACAUGCAAUUCAAAAAGGGAGUAAGGUUCUCAUCAUUUGCAUUAGUUGGGGCUAGCACUAGAGAUGGUGUGACCGCCUCAACAUCCUUCACAUGUUUACCUCCUAACACUCAUUCAACAACUCGAUAUUGAAUUCUGGAUUUCAUUACCUCAUAUGGGGGUAUGGAGCUCCGAUCCUCAAUAGGCUUUGCCUCAACUUCAUAAAAUUCACUUAUCACCUGGGGAUUCAACUCAUACAUACCAUUUACCCCUGAUGAAUGUCUCACACUUGUAGGAUCAUUAGUUAGAUUGCAAUAAAACUCACAGUUUAAAAGCUUGGAAUAGGGACCAACAUACAUUCUCCACUGUUGAAUGCCAUCCAGCCAAUUUCUUGAAGCAGUGGGAAUUUUCUUUCUCUUCUCAGUACAGGGCAGCAUAGAUGGAUGACUCAGAUAUAGAAGGUGCAAAAAGAUAUUGAAACAGUAGGCACAGAUUCUUCAGUAGUAGGCAAGACAUGUGACUCACAAAUGUGACUCAGACCGAUACAGAUAUAGAUAAUUCCUCAGAAUAAACGCUUAAUACUUUGAAUUCUAAUUCUUUGGUAUAUGUUUUGAAUUUACUUAUUCCUCACUCUGUGGAUAUGAUGGCAAUUGGCAAAGGGUCGUCCUGCUCGGGAUCAUCCAUCCUAA